rnacentral:rRNA from 1 species
GACGAACGCUGGCGGUGCGCCUUAUGCAUGCAAGUCGAGCGAAGCUUUUCAGUAGUUUACUACAGAAAAUGACUGAGCGGCGAACGGGUGAGUAACGCGUGAGCAAUCUACCUUAGUUACAGGGAUAGCCCGAGGAAACUCGGAUUAAUACCUGAUAUUCUUUACAUUUCGCAUGAAAUCAAAAGGAAAGGUCAGCCGAACUAAGAUGAGCUCGCGUUCUAUCAGCUAGUUGGUGAGGUAAAAGCUCACCAAGGCAACGACGGAUAGCUGGUCUGAGAGGACGAUCAGCCACACUGGGACUGAGACACGGCCCAGACUCCUACGGGAGGCUGCAGCAGGGAAUAUUGCGCAAUGAGCGAAAGCUUGACGCAGCGACACCGCGUGUGGGAUGACGGAUCUAGGUUUGUAAACCACUUUCAGGAGGGAAGAAAAUGACGGUACCUCCACAAGAAGCCCCGGCCAACUACGUGCCAGCAGCCGCGGUAAUACGUAGGGGGCGAGCGUUGUCCGGAUUUAUUGGGCGUAAAGAGCUCGUAGGCGGUUCAACAAGUCGGUCGUAAAAGUUCAGGGCUCAACCCUGAAAUGUCGAUCGAUACUGUUGUGACUAGGAUACGGUAGAGGUGAGUGGAAUUCCGAGUGUAGCGGUGAAAUGCGUAGAUAUUCGGAGGAACACCAAUUGCGAAGGCAGCUCACUGGGCCGCUAUCGACGCUGAGGAGCGAAAGCUAGGGGAGCAAACAGGAUUAGAUACCCUGGUAGUCCUAGCUGUAAACGAUGGAUACUAGACGUAGGAACUGGAUUGACGGUUUCUGUGUCGUAGCUAACGCGUUAAGUAUCCCGCCUGGGGAGUACGGUCGCAAGACUAAAACUCAAAGGAAUUGACGGGGGCCCGCACAAGCGGUGGAGCAUGUGGCUUAAUUCGAGGCAACGCGAAGAACCUUACCUGGUCUUGACAUGCCCGUCAUAGUUUUCCGAAAGGAAUUCGUCAGUUCGGCUGGACGGUGCACAGGUGCUGCAUGGCUGUCGUCAGCUCGUGUCGUGAGAUGUUCGGUUAAGUCCGGUAACGAGCGCAACCCUCGUUCCUAGUUGCCAGCGGGUAAUGCCGGGGACUCUAGGAAGACAAACCUCGUGUAGAGGUGGGAAGGUGGGGACGACGUCAAGUCAGUAUGGCCCUUACGACCAGGGCUGCACACGUGCUACAAUGCCUGGCACAAUGGGAUGCAAUACCGCGAGGUUGAGCAAAUCCACAAAACCAGGCCCAGUUCGGAUUGGAGUCUGCAACUCGACUCCAUGAAGUUGGAAUCGCUAGUAAUGGCGUAUCAGCAACGACGCCGUGAAUACGUUCCCGGGCCUU